CUUGGUGUGGGCAUCACUCCCUGGAGUCAUGGUCACAGAGAGUAACAGAUUGAGAUGUGUUCUUCACCUUUGAGUUUGGAACAGUUUCAAACAGGAUAAGAGUUACAAACACAACACAGAAAUAUCUGCAACCUUUCACCCAGUGGAUUCAACAAUGCCCUUUAUGACAUGGGUGCAGUCCAGGUCAGCGAGGUAGCUGGUGUCAUUUAGCCUGGAACACAUCCUCUUCCCUCCCUGCCUUGACUUUCAUGCCCUGUCGAUUGUGAAGAUUACAGAUUGGGCCUCACUGUAUAACACUGGCUGGCCUUGGACUUUUGGUCUUCCUGUCUGGGUUUCCAGCAUGCUGAGAUUACAGUUUGCUCCACUAAACCUCCUCUCGCUCAACGAAAACAGAUCCCCAGAGUCUGAC
rnacentral:lncRNA from 1 species